CCUACGGGUGGCAGCAGUGGGGAAUAUUGCGCAAUGGGCGAAAGCCUGACGCAGCGACGCCGCGUGAGGGAUGAAGGUCUUCGGAUCGUAAACCUCUGUUUGCAGGGAAGAACGGUCACUGUGCUAAUCAGCAGUGAAUUGACGGUACCUGCAAAGGACGCACCGGUUAACUCCGUGCCAGCCGCCGCGGGAAUACGGAGGGUGCGUGCGGUAAUCGGAAUUACUGGGAGUAAAGCGCUCGUAGGUGGUAUGUCAAGUCAAGGGGGAAAUCCCCGCGCUCAACGUGGGAACUGCCUCUGAAACUGGCAGACUGGAGUGUGUGAGAGGAAAGUGGAAGUCCAGGUGUAGGGGUGAAAUGCGUAGAUAUCUGGAAGAACAGCAGUGGCGAAGGCGACUAACUGGCACAUAACUGACGCUGAGGAGCGAAAGCGUGGGUAGCAAACAGGAUUAGAUACCCGUGUAGUC
rnacentral:rRNA from 1 species